AUGUCAAGUGAAAGAAUCCUCAAGAUUGGGGAAACUAGAACAGAUUUGGAGACUUGGCCUUUGAAGGAAAGGCCAUGGAGAGGGAUUCUCUAUAGCAGUUGUUCUCAAUUGUGGCGGCUCCCCAGAUCACGACCAGUUGUUGGGAAGAGCCAUAAUGUAAGCCUGUGCCAAUCGGAAGAGACGAAGGAAGGCUGCAUGAGAACACAAAGCGUUCCAGCCUGGUUCCAUAACAUAUUUGGUUACCUGACUGGGAAACCCAACUGGGCUGGACCAUUGUUGACACCGGUUUGGAAGAAUGGCGAGGCAGUGACAGAGUGAGGAAUCUCAAAGGAGAAGGCAUGCCCUGCCUGAAUUUCAGCAGUCUCCUAUUCGUCACCUCAGGUUAGCCCUGCUGCAUCGUUCAUGCUGGACUCAAAGAGACCUGGUAGGUGAAGACCUGGACCUGACAUCAGAACUGGUAAGACUGGGGCCCCAAAGAAGUCAGGCCUACCCAAAAGGGUGUAAGAGGGACCUGAUCACUCCCCAGAGAGCUUAGUGGUCUUACAGGUAGAAAAUUUUGCAGGAGGGAAUGUAAUAGCCUCUCGUGUGUGUGUGUAUGUGAACGUGCGGCUAGGAUAGUCUUGCCAGUCUAGUUUGAGUUUGUGGCUCCACGGAUGGGCGCCCUGAAGGUCCCCGAAAGUCUACAGAGUCUGAGUGGGCUCUCCUGUCUCACAAUGAAAGGCAUAUGGUCCAGGGCGUCAUCGGAUUAGACUCUAAUUGCAAGUCACAAAGCUGAGUCUGCUACGGCCAAGCUUCAUCUAAAGUUUCCCUCGGGAAUGUGACCAAUGGAGUACCUGAUUGGUCCUCUCAUCUGAGGGGAUACCCUCCCUUUGUCUGUCUCCAUGACACCAAACACGAGAAAAGAAUUAAUAAUGGGAUCAAAACAGAGUAAGCCUACGAUUUUAGAGGUCAUGCUCAAAUAUUUAAAAAAUGGAUUUUCAGGUGAUUACCGGAUGAAAAUGACACCCAGGAAGUUAAGGACCUUUUAUGAACUAGAAUGGCCCAUAUUCAAUGUGGGAUGGCCCCCGAAAGGGACAUUAGAUGCUCAAAUAGUGCAGCGGGUUUGGCUGAUAUUCACUGGGAACCCAGGUCACCCUGGUCAAUUUUGAUACAUUGAUUCCUGGCUUGGAAUUGCCCAAAAUCCUCAGCCUUGGGUGCAAUUCAUCCAUAGCAAGAAGAGUCAGGCAAAGAUUUUAGCUACCUUAUCUGGAGACUCACCCAGGGAGCCAAAGAAGCAACCCACCACUUCCCUAGUGUUUGCAGGAGACCCGGAGGAAGAUCCCAUCUUUCCGCCACCUUAUGACUCACCAGGCUCCCUCCCCCCUACCCCUGAGCUUGAAACUCCUCCUCAUCUGUCUCUCCUUUGGCCCUGGACGUGCUGCCCAUCUCUCUUCCACUCCCAGACCUGGAGAACCCUCCCCCAUCAGGGCUAGAAGCCAGACUGCACCCCAGAUCCAGACCUAAUGCUCUCCAAAUGCCUGUAAGGGAGAUGAGAGAGCCUGAAAGGCAGAAUAAGGACAGAACAGUCCAGCCCAGCCAUUCCAUGAUGUAUUAUCAACCUUUCUCUACAACUGACCUCCUCAAUUGGAAACACAACACUCCAUCAUACUCUGAAAAGCCACAAGCAAUGGUCGACUUGAUAGAGUCCCUCUUCCAGACCCAUCGACCGACUUGGGAAGAUUGUCAACAGUUACUCUGUACUCUGUUUAAUACAGAAGAAAGAAGAAGAAUGAGAGAAACAUGACAGUAUCUAGAUCACGCACCUCCGGGGAUCAAUAACCCUGCUGUCUGGGCUCUAACUGCCACACCUGAAGAAUGUCCAACAUGGGAUUUCACCACAGAAGAGGGACAAGCCCACAUCUGAUGAUACCAGGAAGCCCUCCUUCAGGGAACCC
rnacentral:lncRNA from 1 species